UGGUGUAAUGGUCAGCAUGGAUGCCUUCCAAGCAUUCGACGGGGGUUCGAUUCUUUU
rnacentral:tRNA from 1 species